rnacentral:hammerhead_ribozyme from 2 species
CCGCGAAACCCGCCCCCCCGGCGGGUCUGCCCGGCGUGGUGGCCGGACACUGACGAGCAGCCGCAA